CAUGUAGACCAAAAUGGUAACUGAUAUGGAGUUAGCAACACAAAAUAAUUGAUGCCAACUGCUUUCAGAUCAUUCAAAUACAACAAAGAGCAUCUGAUGUUACUUCCAUAAGUUCACAUAUUAAAAUAUAUGUGACACGAGGAGGCUUUAAACUUGAAAUUAAAAAUGAUGUCAAAAGAAGUAUAUGUGACACAACUGAAUAAAUGAUUACAUGUUUAGGAAAAAAAAUCAUUAUACUAUUUUACCAAGAAAAGAGAAGGAAAAGGGAAUGCAUUGUGCACUCUAAAAUACAUACAACAGUUUUAAGCAAGAAAAAAUAAUCAAAUGCUUCAAUAUAUUAAUUCCUGCAAUUGCAGCUUAUAUGGACAGAAGAAUGAACGUUUUCCUUAUGAAAGCAGUGGAGGUAGAAAUUUUACAUCUACAGCAUCCCAGAGUCGAACACUUGUAUCAAAUGAAGAUGUUGCCAGCUGAGUUGUAUUUGGUCUGAAACGAACAUCAGUAAUUAUGUGAUUGUGUUCUUCAGGAGUGCAUUCCGUCUGCAGAGUUUCCAUGUUCCAAAGAACAACCUUCUUGUCAUGCCCAGCA
rnacentral:misc_RNA from 1 species